rnacentral:rRNA from 1 species
UUUACGGAGAGUUUGAUCCUGGCUCAGGACGAACGCUGGCGGCGUGCCUAACACAUGCAAGUGGAGCGACGAACCAGGGCUUGCCCUGGAGCAAAGCCGCGAACGGGUGAGUAACACGUGGGUAACCUGCCCCGAUGACCGGGACAACCCGAGGAAACUCGGGCUAAUACCGGAUGUGAUGUCCACACAUGAGUGUGUCCAUCAAAGGAAGCUUCGGCCUCCACAUUGGGAUGGGCCCGCGGCCCAUUAGCUUGUUGGUGGGGUAAUGGCCUACCAAGGCAACGAUGGGUAGCUGGUCUGAGAGGACGAUCAGCCACACUGGGACUGAGACACGGCCCAGACUCCUACGGGAGGCAGCAGUGGGGAAUCUUGCGCAAUGCGCGAAAGCGUGACGCAGCA